rnacentral:rRNA from 1 species
AGAACGAACGCUGGCGGCAGGCUUAACACAUGCAAGUCGAACGGUUGUAGCAAUACAGCAGUGGCGCACGGGUGAGUAACGCGUGGGAACAUCCCUUUCAGUUCGGAAUAACUCCGGGAAACCGGGGCUAAUACCGGAUAUGACCUUUGAGGGCAUCCUCUUUGGUGUAAAGGAUUCUGGCUAGGGAUGGGCCCGCGGCCUAUCAGCUUGUUGGUGGGGUAAUGGCCUACCAAGGCGACGACGGGUA